CCCGUCGUAAAUGCAUUUAAUUGAUAAAUUCAACCAAACUUACCGUUAUCUUUUUGUCCAUCUGAUGAAUUCAGCCUUGUUUACUGAUUUUUAUAGUUCGUUCUUAUGUUGUACUGUUAUACCACUGUCCUAGGUUAUAGAGAGGGUUAGGGUCCCGCUAACAUGUCAAACCCCGCCACAUUUGGUAUGUUUGUGCCUGUCCGAAGUCAGGAGCCUGUAAUCCUUUGGUUGUCGUUUGUUAAUGUUUUACAUAUUUGUUUUUUGUUCAUUUUUUGAACAUACAUAAGGCCGU
rnacentral:lncRNA from 1 species